GUAGUCAUAUGCUUGUCUCAAAGAUUAAGCCAUGCAUGUCUAAGUAUAAGCAAUUUGUACGGUGAAACUGCGAAUGGCUCAUUAUAUCAGUUAUGGUUUAUUUGAUAGUACCUUACUACAUGGAUACCUGUGGUAAUUCUAGAGCUAAUACAUGCUUAAAACCCCGACUUCGGAAGGGGUGUAUUUAUUAGAUAAAAAACCAAUGCCCUGCGGGGCUCCUUGGUGAAUCAUAAUAACUUAUCGAAUCGCAUGGCCUUGCGCUGGCGAUGGUUCAUUCAAAUUUCUGCCCUAUCAACUUUCGAUGGUAGGAUAGUGGCCUACCAUGGUGGCAACGGGUAACGGGGAAU
rnacentral:rRNA from 1 species